rnacentral:lncRNA from 1 species
CUGGCCGCUGCAGCUGCACCCAGGGAGCUCCAGCCCCAUCAACUCGGAAGGGGCGGGGCUCCUGCUUGUUCCUGGCCCUUGCCUGCUCGUGGAGCGAGAGGGCCAGGUCAGCAGCAGCGGGUUGGGUGGCUGCAACUGCACCAGGGAGGGCAGAUCCUGCCUGUUCCCAGCCCCUUCCAAGAGCACAGGAAGGCUCGGAUCCACAGCUGCAGUUUUGGCUGAUGUAGCCCCGCUACGUAUUGCAGGAGGGUGGGGCUCCUGCCUGUUACGUGAAGCAGGGGGCCUGGAUCUGCUGCCGAGGUUUGAGGUUUGGGCGGCUGCAGUGGCACCCGGGAAGUUUCUGCCCCAAAUCAGAAGGAGUGGGGCUCCCACUGACUCCACAGAGUGUGCAGCCCCAGCCCUCCUCUCUGCUGCAGCCGGGGUAAUGGCAGCAGCUGUUGCCAUCAACUGCAUUUGGAAAUAGAACCUUAAAAGAGGUACUUAAGUUAAAAUGUGGUUUUAGGGUGGGUUCUAACUCAAUACCACUGUGCCCUUAUAAAAAGAGGAGAUUAGGACACAGUCGACAAAGAGGAUGACCAUGUGAGGACGCAGCAAAAAGGCGACCACCUGGGAGCCAAGGAGAGAGGCCUCAGAAGAAACAAAACCUGCCAACCCCUUGAACUCAGACUCUCAGCCUCCAAAAUUGUGAGAAAAUUCUUCUGUUGUUUAAACCAUCCAGUCUGUAGCAUUUUGCUAUGGCAGCCGUAGAAAACUCAUACAAAGGGUAACAGCAAGAGUCUAUUUGUCAAGAUUUCUCCCUAAAGCCCUUUGGCUACUCAGGAAGGCCCUGCGUGAAACUUGCCAAGGAUUCCAUAUGACAGCUUCUGCUUCACCUUCCACCAUGAUUGUAAGCUUCCAGAGGCUUCCCCAGAAGGAGAUGCCAACUCCAUGCUUCUUGUGCAGCCUGCAGCACCGAACAAAUUGCUUUCCACUCGUAAAAGCCACCCAUGAAAUCCUGGAAGCCUUCUCAAAAUGUAUGUGUCUCUAAAAUUGUUACUGGGAUGAUCAAGUCUCCAUUCCUUCAGAAUUCUUUCUUGGUUCUCCAAUUUUUGGAAUUUCAAUCAGGUGAUACCAGACGGGACUAGUCCCUCCUGACUUUUCCAAAGAGGACCUUCUGUUUUCACUGAAAGAUUCUAAAAUUCUAUACAAAAUCUGUUAUUGAUGCUAAAGAAUUAACCAAAGAACAAUUUCAAGCUUGAAUGUGAGUUGAGCCAGGCAGUGUAGGAAACUGAAUAACGGUCACCUACAGAUAUGAAGUCCUAAUCCCUGGAACUUGUAAAUGUUACCUUAUUUAGAAAAUGGGUCCUUGGGCCGGGUGCCUGUAAUCCCAGCACUUUGGGAGGCCAAGGCAGGUGGAUCACCUGAGGUCAGGAGUUCAAGACCAGCCUGGCCAACAUGGUGGAACCCCAUCUCUACUAAAAAUACAAAAAUUAGCUGGGCAUGAUGGUAGGUGCCUGCAAUCUCACCUACUCAGGAGGCUGAAGCGGGA